GCCUAAACCCCAGAAAUCAACAAGUGACAUGUGACCUUCAUGUACGUAUAGCUGUCUAGAUUGAGAGGGGGAAAAGUCCUCAAGGAAAUGGUAUAAAAAACAGUAGCCAAGAAAAAUAAAUCCCACGGAAUUCCAUUAUUACUGCACAUCUUUAUAUUCUGCUUGUGAUAUGAUUUUCCCGCAGCAAAGUUACAAGGAAGCCACCAUCCUCUUAAUCACCAUAACUAAAUCUAACAUUAAAGAGGAGGGCAAAGGAUAAAAACAGAAAAGCAGGAUGGGAAACGGCUAAUAGCAUUCUUAAAUUACGAGAGAUAACCCCCAAAAAAAAAAUGUUGCUGUGAAGCUGCUGCAUAAAAGAUGAGAGGUUGAUCAUUUAUAUGGCAUACGAAAGGCUCUUAAUUUCUU